rnacentral:rRNA from 1 species
CCUACGGGAGGCCGCAGUGGGGCAUAUUGGGCAAUGGAGGAAACCCUGACCCAGCAACGCCGCGUGAAUGAUGAAGUUUUUCGGAUUGUAAAGUUCUUUUCUAAGGGACGAAGUAAGGGACUGUACCUUUUGGAUGAUCCUCGGCUAACUACGGGCCAGCAGCCGCGGUAAUACGUAGGGGGCAAGCCGUAUCCGGAAUUAGUGGUCGUAAAGGGCGGGUAGGCGGGAUGGCAAGUUAGUAGCGAAACCCCAAGGCUUAACCUUGGAACUGCUUCUGAAACUAUUGAUCUAGAGUGCAGGAGAGGCAAGCGGAAUUCCUAGGGUAGCGGUGAAAUGCGUAGAUAUUAGGAGGAACACCAGUGGCGAAGGCGGUUUGCUGGACUGUAACUGACGCUGAGGCACGAAAGCGUGGGGAGCAAACAGGAUUAGAUACCCGAGUAGUC